ensembl:lncRNA
AUUGGGGUUUCUGGCUCUGGAAUGAUGAUUGACUGGGAUUUCUGGCUCUGGAAUUUUGCUUUAUUUGGAUUUCUGACUCUGGAAUUACAAUUUACUGGAAUUUCUGGCCCUGGAAUUAUGGUUUACUGGGAUUUUUUGCUCUGGAAUCAUGCUUGACUGGGAUUUUUGGUUCUGGAAUUGCGAUUGGGAUUUCUGGCUCUGGAAUUAUGAUUGAGAUUUCUGGCUCUGGAAUUUUGGUUUAUUUGGAUUUUUGGCUCUGGAAUUAGGAUUGACUGGGAUUUUUUGCUCUGGAAUUAUUAUUGGGAUUUCUGGCUCUGGAAUUUUGGUUUACUGGGAAUUUUGGCUCUGGAAUUUUGGUUUUCUGUGAUUUCUAGCUCUGGAAUUAUGAUUGGGAUUUCUGGCUCUGGGAUUCUGGUUUAUUGGGAUUUCUGGCUCUGGAAUUUUGGUUUAUUUGGAUUUCUGGCUCUGGAAUUAGGAUUGACUGGGAUUUUUUGCUCUGGAAUUAUUAUUGGGAUUUAUGGCUCUGGAAUUAUGGUUUACAGGGAUUUCUGGCUCUGGGAUUUUGGUUUACUGGGGCAUUUGGCUCUGGAAUUUUGAUUUUCUGCGAUUUCUUGCUCUGGAAUUAUGAUUGGGAGUUUUGGCUCUGGAGUUUUGGUUUAUUUGGAUUUCUGGCUCUGGAAUGAUGAUUGACUGGGAUUUUUUGCUCUGGAAUUAUUAUUGGGAUUUCUGGCUCUGGAAUUUUGGUUUACUGGGAAUUUUGGCUCUGGAAUUUUGGUUUAUUUGGAUUUCUGGCUCUGGAAUGAUGCUUGACUGGGAUUUCUGGCUCGAAUUUUGUUUUACUGGGAUUUCUGGCUCUGGAGUUACGGUUUAUUUGGAUUUCUGGCUCUGGAAUUUAGGUUUCCUGAGAUUUCUGCCUCUGGAAUUUCAGUUUUCUGGGAUUUUUGAAUCCUUCCCUGCUCCAGCACGUAGCAGGGAUGAGCUGGUGAUGGGGGAGGAUUAUUCUGAUUUUCUGCUCUUUUUUCCCCCUCCUGCACCUCUGGACCAGUGGCAGGCGCAGCUCCACCGUGAGGAAACAGGAUUCCUCCCAGGCCAUUCCCCUGGUGGUGGAGAGCUGCAUCCGCUUCAUCAGCAGGCACGGUGAGUCUGGGGCAUUGCUAGAAAAUAAAAUAAAAUAAAAUAAANAAGGGGAAGAUCCC